AGUCUUUCACAUACUUUGUGAAUAUUUUUUUUGUAGAUCUGUGCUGAGUUCCACAGGAACCAGGAAAGGAACGAGUUUUAUGCAGAAAUGGAUCGGCACAUUCCACAGAUUAUAGAACUGUACAGAAGGAAGGCAGCUCCAACUUGAAGAGUGGUAGGAGCACUGCGGGACAUCCUACAGUAUUAUGAAACUGAGGAUGUGCACAAUAACAACAUGAAACACACUGUGGCCCUUCGUUGUCUCUCAGUAUACUUGCAGGAAGAGGACACACAGUUUUUCAAGACUUGGAAUAGUGAGGAAUCAGAGGAGCCGGACAUCGGGAACACACCCACUGGUAUUCAGAGGAAGAAGUGCAUCUCUACUUCACUUCAGUCCUGUAUCCACAGCCAUUGUGGUUGAAGAUUAAUUUCUCAUGAGGGACAUUACCACAUUUGCUGAUGCAUAUGUGUUACUGUUUGGGCUGGUUUGUGCUUUGCAACUGGACUACCCAAAGAAGCUUGUUGGCACCUUCACCUUCUUUCAGAAGGUUCUCAUGGGGUUGGAUGAUGGUGCACCCCUGAAACCUUCUCUGCUUUCUUUGAAAAAUUACCUGCUGUCAAUGUAGGCAUUUGUCAUGAUUUUGGUUCUGUUACCUGGUCUGUUCACCCAUUUUUCACCUGUUGUUACUCCGCCCUGUUCUCAUUACUGCUCACCUGUUCCACCUGCGUUUGACAGUAUAUAUUCACCCUUCAGACAAGACAGCAGUGCCAGUUUAUUUCGUCCUGGCGAUUGAUCUAUUCCAGCGUUUUGUAUUCUGAUUACCUGUUCCUGACCUGUUAAGUUCCUUGACCUCCGAGUUUGCCUGUUCCUUCCUAAUCCGUUUGCCUCCUUCUAGACACCCGCCCGACUUGAUAUUCUGCUUGAUCUCUUAUUACCCGUGUACCGAUCUCUGGACUGUGACCCGACUUCGCUCUGGAUUAACCCUUGGUACCUCAUCGGCUUUCUGACCUUCUGUUACCGACCAUUGACUACAUUCCGGACAUCGGCUCCUGCUCAACCCCUUCGGAUUUUCCUGCUCCUGAUUGCCUACACGGUUUUGACCUUAGCCUGUUCUCGGACCACCGCUACACCAGAACUGAACAUAAGACCAUGUUAGUGGCCCGCAUGUUUGUGUUAAAACACAUCCUGACCGACAGGGUCACUAACCUGUUGUCUCCGCCCGCAGAGGU